AAAGAGAGCGCUUUGCUGCGCGCCCCUCGUGGAGAGCCAGGCUCAGGCGGUUGACUGGAAAGAGCUGAUUUUCAGUGUAGCUGGAUCUGGAGUUCUCGACCUUAACAAGUCCAGAAAAUACGAUGCUGGCAUGCUUAUCCCGUGAGACAACUCGGCCCACAAAGCACAAAAACUAAACCCACACUCAGAGAAGAACCAAGAAUGGUGUUUUUCCCGGCGUCCACAAGAAGCGCUUUAUUUUUCCUCUAGAUUUCUUUUCUAAAAAAAAAAUGAAAACAAACAAAAACAAAACAGAACAAAAAUGACUGAGAUGAACAUUCAAACAAAUGAUCCACACUUCAGGCGAUCAUAGUCAAGCAUGUUCUUUUAUUAAGCAUAGGAUGGGAGGAGCCAAGGGAAGUUGAAGCUAGCCAGCUAGCCGCUAAUUCAAGAGGACUGUGAGGCCCUGACACUCCCUCAGGAGUGAAGACUGAGGGAACUACUUCCUGUUUCCCACCUCAAGAAAAUCCCCUGUGUCUUAAGGAAACCUUGCUUCCUUGCUUGCCCAUCUGUGUAUCUAGGGAAUGAUUUGCAAUAUAUUUGUUAUAAUCACUAAAAAAAAAAAUGCUUGCAUAGCUUUGGCAAGGAAGACAGCGAAAGGUGCUCUUGGGACCCACCAGCUCAGCACACCGGCUCCGCUCCCCUCCCCUCUGAUGGCACCAGCACAGUGGUUCUGUUGGGACACGGUUUUGAGUUUCUCGCAAAGUUGCCAAGCCUGGUCAGACUUGGUAGGGAAGUAUGAAACGUUGGCCUCCAGGACUGAGCUCAGCAUGGAGAGGUGAACAUGUUCUUUUUCUUCCCUCAACAGGGGAAAGCCAGCAUUGUGUGGCAGUGGUGGCCAUGGUGGUGCCUGGGUGGGCCAAGGGGACAUUAGGCUAUUCCAAAGGUAGUAGAGAAUCACUUGUGUUUCUACAAUGAGCAAAGGAACCUACAUGUUAACCAUGCUUCCGGUUUCAAGCAGGCCACCACCAGAAAAGCAAGCAGAUCCAUGACUAACCCUGUCCUACAAAAGGGACGUUAUCCCUUGAAAGGUCCUGCAUCCCACUGACACUCAACCCUUCCCGUUGGUUAUAGCUGUUCUUAUUUCUUUUACUCUCAUGGCUCUGCACUGGAGGGUGAGGGGCACCCCUGGAUGAUGGGCUGGCAGUUAUGAGGGUCAGAGCAUGGGUGGGGAGGUUGCCCAAAAUUAUGGGGCUCUGAUUAGCUGGAUGGACUGCCCAGUCGGUCCUGGAUGAGCCUCUCGCUGAGUUCCCACAGGGCCCGGGCUGUCUCUUCGCUCUGAGCCUCUUCAGACGGCAGGCAACGGCAGCAGUUGUUGAAAUACAUCCCUCCGAGGCCUUCCAGCUCGGGCGCAACAGCACAGUAGACAGUGGUAGCAGCUCCCUGUUGCUGAAAAACAGAGAAGAAAGAGAAGCACUUGUUUUUAAAAACGGAAUGAUAGGCCAAUGCCAUUCUGGCUCUCUAGAGAUCAGUGAGCCGUUCUCCACUUGGACAUCAGCGUGGCAAAGGGCUCAGCACUAAGCACAGGACUGCAAAGUAUGGUAUGCAAUAACUUUGGACAAACAAGUCCGUAAACUCUGCUUGUAAAGCUGGUGUGACUUUUCACACAUCGUAGAGGAAAAGGCGUGGUAAAUAAAGAUACAUUUCAAUCUCUCAUGCCAGAUGCCAUUCUGGCACAGAGAAAAAGAUGCUGUCCUUCCCAACAGGCAAGAGCAGAUCCAUCCAAACCUUUGACUUCUUCAUGUGCAAUGUAAUUUGACACUGAGAACUUUCUAGAACCUUCUUCCCAAAAGCAACCAACCACUCUUGAUGAUGCCCCCAUCAAAUGGGUGUCUCAAGUGAGGCUGGUGACAGAUUGCCCGUAUUCUUUGCCCAGGAUGCUCUUAGAGGGUAGGGUGGGUUUACAACACUGUUGCGAUGUUUAAUACACACACACACACACACACACACACACUCACACACACACAGUCUUGCACAUCCCUACAGUGAUGUGUUUAUUCACCCAGAAAACACUUUUCUAAAUGUCAUAUUCGUUCUGAUUUACAACAAGAUAUGACCUAAGGUGGGAGGCACGAAUCCUUCAGCCCAUUUCAAAUUCAAGUUUCUGUGAACACCAGCGAUCGUUUUCUGGUCUCCUCUGGAGUCACAGUUGGGGCUGUAGCUAGGGGCGUGCUCACUGAUGGGGCACCAUGUCAUCCCAACUGACAGAAUAUUGCCAGAGAUGCCAUAAAGAGGGCAAGAGCUCACUUUGCUUUGCAAGCCAUAAUUAAAAAUAAUAGGCCUCUGUUCGGAAGGCGGCAUGGUGAGCAGGGCUCUAAUUUAAAAGCAGUGCCGUUUAUCUGCCGUCCUGUGAUCAUUUAUGUGGAGAACAGCUCUUGAUGCAUCAACUCGCUAUCAGCUGACGGGGAGCGGGGUUACAAACAAGGACCGGACGCUUGCCACAGAGGUCAUACUUUAGGGAAACCAUUAGGGAUGUUUGCUGGCAAGAGAGAUGGCUUCCUGUCCCUACGCAAAUGUAACCACUUUUUCCUGCCCCUACAGGGUUGAAAUUGUGUUAGAUCAGAGUGUCCAUGGACAAACAUCCCCAUACAUGACUAGAACCGUUGGAGCCAGAGUCCCGAGGGACUGCAAUUUCAGCCAAAUUCCGUUUGGGUUUUAUUUGGGACUGGUUUCUGGGUCAGGGUUGGUGAUCAUAUAUGCAUUGGUCAAAUGCAGCUCUGUGGCCUGGCCGUGGGAGAGGCAGAGAGGAGUGUGUGAAUCAGAUUUGAUAUUUGAUCAUAUCUGGCUGCUUGAGCCCCCUGGUUGGGUUCCACCGGUCCAGGAUUUGAACAUCUGGCCUGUAACUGGAGCUUUAAUUAAAUAGCAAAGGAUUAGUGACUCCCUGAAGUCCCUCAAAUACUUCCCCCAGCACCCUACUCCCCACCAUGAACAGCGAUUACAUUGGAUUCAGAGAUCCCUUUCUCAGUUGCUCUCCUUUUACUGACUUGCUAAUGGUCUUCACCUUUUGCUGAACACCAGGUGUGUUUAUCUAAACCCCUGCCAGGGGGUUGUGGGAUUCCUCCACAUCUUUUAAGGAGGAAGAGGGCAGCCAAAGUGCCUCUGCCGCCUAAGCAGAACACAAGGAUGACCACUCAAGUCAAACAGCAACUUGCCCUCUGCUCCCUGCCGAGUCCAGGUGGAGACAGAGCUUUGAAUAAACUUUGGACCAUUUCUCUUGGAUUUUCAUUUUAUUUUGUUGGUGACAAAUCCAGCCAAGAAUGAUCAGGUGACUCGCCAUAGACUUCUAAGUAGUGGCUGAGAGAAUCUAGUCCCUUCACCUCCAAAUCCUCCCCUUCUCCUCUUCCCCCAGCCCUAGGUGAUUCCCCUUUCAGACAGCGCUUCUAAUCUCACAACAGACUGUCCAAUCCUGAGACAGGACCCAGGGAAGCCACUCAGGAAACUGGCCAUCAGAGUCCUUCCAAACCUAAUGCAGCAAACUGCUCCUGUGUCCUUCGAACGUCGUGUGGUCUGCGUGCUUGCAUUGCUGAAAUGGUGAAGGAAUUCUAAAGUCACCCCAAUCUAGGGUCAAGCUCAAUGGGAGAGGAGGUGUGUCUUCCAUCAGUGGAAUCUGCAAAUGAUGGCAGCUUGGCUGCUUUCACGGAAGUGUGUGUUUGGUGGCUGAGCUGAAAAGCACGCAGCUUUAAAAGCCCAGUGAUCCACACACGCUCACAUCCAUUCCUUGCCAUUGGACUUAGGGUAGUUUACAACACAAACUCUACUGCCUGUGCCCCCAGCUUUAUAAAAGAACACAGAACAGGGUACAAAAGCCGCCUUUGCUACCCCAAAGACCGACUGUGUCUUUUUGGCAAAGUCUCCCUGCCCGAGCCAUGCGUGCUGCCGCCGGCUCUUGCUUUAUCUUCUUUUCAGGACAGACAAUUGAGUGCUGACAAUAUCUUGUUGGUCCCAUGCCCACUGCCUCACGGGCUUUUUGGAGAAUUUUCUUCUCAGCUGUUCCAAUGACAACCUUGGAGUGAUAUCUUUAUAGCAUUCGAUGUGGCGACAUUAUAAACAACAAGUUCCCACUUAGGGCUCGUCAGCUUCCCAGUCUGCCUCCCAUCAGCCUGAGACACUGCCGCAUUAGUGAGGUCUCAUUAGUAAACAAGCUUGUACCACUGGUAGGAGAUGAAACACUUUCAAACUGAUAAGAAAGGGUUGUUUUGUUUUUAUUUUUGAGCACUUUAAUCACCAUCAAAUGAUUUUCGUGCCACUUUGGGGACAUCAGUACCUAAGUCGGAGGAGAUGAAACAGGCAUAUAAAGAAAACAAGGUUAACGCUGGCGGAAUAUUUGAAGGUAUGACUUGCCAUUUGUCAACAUUGUUUUACUAGUUCAUGGUGAUAAAGUAAUAACCCCUUGACAUGAGAGUGCUGGCUGGAACUGUGGUUCUCUCCCAGAUGGUUCUUGUUUGUUUCCUUCAGAACAAUUUGUCAGGUUGUGUAGAUCCCUCAUCACAAGAAGCUGGGGAAAUAACACCUCCAGCCACCUCGAUGCCAUUGGACUAAUGAGUUGACGACCCAGGACGGAGAGUUUCUGGCAAGCCCAGUAGAAUUUUUAACCAUACCCUUAUUCCAUCUGGGUUCUAAUCAAACAUUUGCAGUGACCAGAGUUCACCUGUGACCUCAGCCAUUACUGUGUAUGUAAAACCGUCCAGGGUUCUUGUUUGUAAGUUAGGCAGAGAACAUCUUGCUAAUAGAGGUUCAUCGUUUUCUCCAAGAAAUCAUCUUCCAGGUUUGCAAUCCCAUCUUCCACCUCAGAAAGCUAGGAUGCUUAUGGGUGAUUGUUGGGAGUUGAGCCCCUGAGAUUCAAAGGAGCUGGCCUUCCAAAAUCCUUUGUUGGGAUGAAAACGUUAAGUAUCUGCCUUCCACCAACAUUUAUUUGAUAACCGCUGGCCAGCAAUUUGUAGCCGUCAGCACUAGUUACAAAUGAAUAUUGAGUCCUUUGAAGAAGAAGGUACAGAGGUUUCUGAUAAACAACACAUGGUUUGAAACAACCAAACAAAACCACAUAUUGAUAUCUGCGAUGCAUUACUUAGUGCUGUGAUAGGAUACUCAUGUUCUGAUAAGAACACAUGUUACACAAUUAAUUUAGCUUUCGGGUGACUCUACCUUAACAUGCAUGCUUAUUUAAAAGGAAGAAUAGAUUCCCGUCUUAAAGUAGAUGCAACAGCGCAUUUUAAAAUACACACACUAUCAUGGCCCAUCUAUAUUCAAAGACGUGAAAGAGCGGUAGAUGUUGGAAGAUUGCUUUAUUACAGACAUAUCCACACCAAGAUAUUGCACAGCAAAUGCUGAUUUAAUCAAUUUAUGCAAAAAAAUAGAUUCAGAAAUGGGAACACGCCACGCAAGAUAGAUUAGGCCUGGAGCCUCAAGGGCAGGGAAGGAAGGCAGGUAGUGACCGACUGCCGAGAUGGGUUAAAAGUGGCACAGCACAGUGAGCGUGUUGGGCAAAGAGGAAAGGCAGGAGCAUCUUCAGACCCCCAAAGCUUUCAUUGCUACUCAUCUGGGGUCUCCUAGGCAGAGAAUAUCCUUCCCAAAUAUGCAGCGGUGCAAUAGAUAGAUCACACUGAGUGGAACAAUUAGUCACAGAGCCGGAGCAGAGACAAGCAUCUCACUACCCUUCCCCUCUCCUAAUAAUAGUAAUGCUCCUGCAGAAGAGUUGCAAGACUUCUCAGAAACAUGCAGCAUUGCAUUCUGGAGUUCAUCACCAAAUAUCUCGGUGCUCGGGACAUAGCUGUUUCCACAAACAAGUAUGAUUUCCAUCUCGGGUUUACGAGGCAAAACCAAGCUGUUCCAAGGGGUGCUGUGUCCCUACUUUACUAGACUGUCAGCGAACAAAUGACCUCAUAUUCCAUAAUAUUCUGUCUGUUCAUAAAGCAAAGUAGUUAGCACAGGAAUGAGACCCUUGCACCUCUCUGACCAGUGACCAAAGCGAAAGAACACCUCCAUUGCUACCCACACAACUGAAUUCUAUCUAUAAUGUUGGGUCAGUGCUUAUAAGCCUCCCGGGUUUCAGCACAAUGGAAGGAGGCAGCAGAAGAGAACAAAGAGCUCUGUUCUCCCGUGAGUUCCAGCCAACAGUGACUCGCCCAGUAGCUGCGAGGCCUAGCAUUGAUUGAUGGCGAGCAUGCGCCAGGUGCCUGCAGGCAGCUUCCUAAGCAUCAUCUUCUACUCUCCAUGCUGUUCCCUGAGCCAGGAACAACCAGCAUCUCCAUGUUCAGAGACCCACUUCUAUUCAAAGAUCAAAUCCAGCUUGUCCAAAGUCUCAGGGACAGUCACAAAUGGACUGAUUCAGAAUCCAUGAGUUAGUAUAGGAAACCUCCGUCCCAAACACGCGACAGGAAUACGGUCAUGGUGACCAUUUCUCUCUAGGUGCCUCCCGUCUGACUUAGGCUUUCUCAUGCUAUUUUGUCUUCUUCCCCAGGUCAUGCCUCCUUACAGAACGAGGCCCUGAUUUGGCCUAAGUUAAAUACACAAGCUGUCAUAUGUGCACCUGAAAACUGAUCAAAGGAGAUUUUUCCACUGUUGAUUUAGUCAGCGAACUAAAUUGAAAUUAUAUCCAUUUGGAUUAACAAAAAAAAAAAUGAAGACUCAGCACCCUAUCCAUCUAUUCAAUAGCAAAUGACCCUUCAUAAAAAAAAAAAAAAGUUACCUGACUCAACUGACUCAAAAUGCUACCUCUGGGCACCAGAUCUGCCAAGCUAAGGAACGUACCCUUUGACAUAGACGUUUUCAAAGCAGGAACAUCAAAACCAGUAGAAUAAAUGGCUCUCUGCAUGUCCUCUCCAUCCUGCCCAUAGCACAACAACACUCAUGUGCUAAAGUCUGCAUCGACUCAGCCAGAAAGGUAAAGCACUUUCAGUUCAUUUCCAGAGCCACCCCUGUUUUACAAACUCCCAUAGGCGCAGUGUGGCCUUCAGUAGGCGCAGGUGCUGACAGGCUCCAUUAGACUUGCAAAGCAAAACAACCACCUCCUUCCCUCCAACCCCCAAUAAAUCCCUAGCAUAUUAACUCCUACAAAUUCCCGACAAUUGGUUCCUACGAAGGCCUUGAACAGUACAGGCUCGGAUCCAUGCAAAUGUUUCGUUUAGGCGCUGAGAUGUAAACUUCUUCGUCGCUCUUGGGAGUUCUGCUAAUGCACAGGUUGUUCUUAAGGCUUCCUUACAAAAAGCCUGCAUUGCAGGGGAGGAGAUAGAAACUCUAGAGACUGGAGCCUGGAUAUUUGUGUACAGGCUCUACCAGCGUGAGGAAAAAAAUGUUUCAGAAAAGUCAUACAGAGAACACACAAACCCCUUCACCCUGCAGAAGGGAAUGUGUUCAGCUGUCACCGUGGCUUUGACAGUGUGUUCCAGAACUUAGUGUUACCGUAGCAAAUCCCUUUGCUAAAUACAGGCUCACAGCUGUGAAAGAUCUUAGGUUCUUUUCCUGGUGACUCGCCCAUGAAGGUAAAGUGUGUAUUCUCAGGUGUGAGGACAAGCUUGACUGCAGUAACCGAGGGAUAGGCAGAUAGUGAAAUAUGCCAACCCAUCACACUAAACAUCAUUAGGCCAAACACAGAUGACACCCAAAUUGCAAAACUCCUCUUGAGCGACGUGAAGCUCUCAAAUGGCAGCCAUACCCUGAGAGAGAGUCUCUGAGAUGACCUGAUGCAUUUCCUGCUGCACUGAAGGAAUCCGAAGUAAGACAGCGCCCAAUGUCAGUCUCUGACAAAAGACACAGUUGUCUGGAAAUGUCCCUGCGGAGUUCUGAGGUGCUGGUUUGAAGACCAAGGUAGAAUGGAUGGGAAAGACCCUAGCAUAGUGUUGCUCAUUUACUGUGCCAUAGGAAGUCCCAGAAACCCUGGGUUCUAGACAGAAAGUUGGAUGGAAUUCUUUAAAAACAGAAGAAUGUAGUUGCCAUUCCUAAAAUCUUAAGUCUAAGGAAGGAUUAGCUAGCCAACCCCAACCAUUCCAAGGUGUCCAAAAGCAUGUUUGGUUGAGAAGGUAAGGCCAGAAGAAGACUUUUUUUUUUUCAAAUCAGGAGGGUUGGAAGGCAGAGUGACCUCCGUAAGCUAUUGUGGCUCUACGCUCACAGCAAGGGUUACUCUAGACUUUCUCUUAAAAUAAAGUCCUUUUUCUAUUUUCCUCACGUCUGCGGAUUUUUGUAAUAGACAGCCCAUUGGUUCCAUGACAGAAUUAUGUGUGAUCUUAUAGGACUAGCAAUAUGAUAUUUAGAAUCAUGUCACUGUCUGAGAUCUGUUAUUAUACCUUGGGAGGCCCUAUAGGUGCGAUUUGGUGGGAAAGGAGGUGGAGGGUGCUUCUAAGAGGGGAAAGGCAUGGCUCAAGGGUAAUCUGCUUGGUUGUCCUGAAGCACACUCAUUCCACAUUCCAUUUGUGUCUGUCCACAUUGCUCUUAAGCAAUUCUCAUUGGAGAGAAGGGAAGAUCUAGUGGAUUAGGGUUUACAUAUUCAUGAAAGACAUCCCUGGGUAUUCCCCAUUGAGUUGCCCAGAAUAUGGGCAUUGCUCAACUCAGCUCAACCUAUAGUUCUUUUGCAGAUAGAGAUUUGUCUUGUGGGGUGGAAAUUUGAACUGAGGGAUACAUUCUUUCAUGAGUUACUUUGAUACGGUCCAACAGAAGAGCCAUAGAAUUUUGCCAUUGAAAUAAGCAUCUUACUUAGAGCAUAAUUAGGCCUACCACUGUAAUUUUCCAACUGGUCCAUCUCAAUGUCAGGGCUGAAGAACCACUGAGGGUUCAUAAGAGAUCAAAGAAGACAUCUGCUGGUGUUAAUUUGAAACAUAUUACAUUUUACUUCUUUAACCUUGGUUAUAGCCACUCAUAUAUAUAUCUAUAUAUACUGUAUAUACAUGUAUGCUUCUGUAUUUACCAUGUAUACUGAAAUAAAUCUUUAAAAUGAUGGCCAGGCAGAAUUAAUGGGUUUGGUUCUCAUAGAUGGUAAAAAAGAUGUCUUCCUAGUAUACGUGAAACACAGAGUUUCUCCCUUUUCUUCUGCACAGAAAAGCUUCAUUCCUCUUGCCUGUCUUUUUAUCUCUUCAAAGUAAAAUAAAUAAAAUAAUAAUAAAAAAUACCUUUACUGUGGAGAGCAGGCGGGAUUUCAGGGCACACCUCAAACAAGCUGUUUAGAUUGUUGAAGCCGCCGACAGUCUCUACAUACCUAUGCCACUGGCAAAUCGUACAAAAAGAAAUAAAAAUACUAGGGUUGGAGAUGGGAAACACAGGAUCUCUGAUAUGACCAUAUCAAGGUAAGAAAUGAACUCUUUACUCUGUUAUCCCAACAUGAAUUAAGAAGGUGCAUCUUGCCCUGAUUCAGCACUCAUUGGCACCUCCCAGCCCCCAUGGCCAGCCCUGCCAUGUCAAACAAGGCCCAUCCUCAUUUAGCUGUGCAUGUUUUUUCUUUGAGAACUUCUUGGGACAGAUCAUUUCUCUGGCUUGAAGAUGUCAGCCUUGCUAAUAUGUCAUUCAGAACAUACUGUGGCGAGCAUUUCGUUUGUUACUACUUCCAUAAUGAAUGGUGAUCACUCAGGCACCGCCUUUACACGGAGAGAUCUCUUCUCAGUGGUCCAGGGGCUGAUGAGAAACGAUAGAUAUUUCACUCACCUGCAGCUUGUUGCUAGUUAGUGGGAAACAAUCAUGUGUACUGUUGCUUUAAUUGCCAGGGUAAAUAAUCCUGCCUGGGUUAGAGAGCGGUUUGAAGCACUUGAUGUGAAUACACCAGAAACAAAACAAACAAAAAAAAUUUAAAAAUUGCAUUCUAUCAUGCAAAUAUUAUCUAAAUAUGCAUGUGCUAACUACUCAGCUACUGUAUUUUAGGAAAUACAAUUAGGCUGCCUUUCUUUUCUCCUAUGUAGACUGUAAAUAACUGUAGAUCUUUCUCUUGCUUCUGUAUGUAAAUAUAUGUAAAUACCAACACACUAUGCAUGUUGAUAUUCUAGGCGAUUUCAGGUACUUUUAUAAUCUGAAGGCAUGUUCUUGAACUGGUUUGUUAAAAGGGGGAAAGGGGAAAACUCUCUCAGACUCUUUAAAGCUCAACAGAAAUUAAAGUUUUCUUCCUAGA